CUUCUGUGCCUCUUCCUAAAACACAGGGCAGCAGGAUGGCAGCUGUUCUGGGGGCAGUCCUGUGGGUGACUCCACACCAGGGAUCAGGAGCCGCCUUUCUACCCGCGCCCAGAAGUUACAGCUGCCCUGCAUAGCUGGGAGCUGUGCUUUGAAGUGCCCACACCUGUGGCUGUCUCCUUUCAUCUCACCACACCCAGGUGCUGGGAAUCCUGAGAAAAAAGAGCAGUCUCCUCUAUAACCACCUGAUGCCCAAGGGACAACAUUGGUACAUUGCCCAGGAAGGAACAGAAGCAAGGCAGACAAAGGAACUCUACACUAUCCCUAUUGUUUCCCGGCAAUUUCUCCAGAAACUCCUAGAUUAUAAUCCAAAAACAUCAUCACCUCCCAGGAUUACUUUUUAAUUGCCUAAGGACUUAAUGACAAUUUGUAAAGGACAUAUUUUCCUGGCAGCACAUAGCAGCAUGCAUGAGACAUUCAGAAAAACUGUGGCAGAAUAAAAGUAGACAAACGACAAAACAACUCUUUGGUAUUAAAAUGAAUAAACUUUUCCUUUGUCUGACAUUUAUUUUCAUUCAGAAUGAACUAUUCACAUUCAUCCAUUCAUUUUCAUGUUUCUAUGACACUUGGAUAAUAUUGUAUGAGAAUAUACAAAUAUACAUGAAAAUAAAGUGGUUCCAGAAACCUUAUUUCAAAUUACUUCAACAAAUAACUUUAAUAAUUUAAACUUUGGCUACCAUUUAUUGUACAGUUAUUAUGUUCAGAGUGUUCUUUACUUUAUACAUUUUGUGCCUAAUUCUUUUUUAAAAAAGAAAUCCAAACCCCAGAUUCAGAGAAGUAAGUAGCUCACUGUCAUGCAGCCAAUAGAGGUAGAAGCAGGAUCUGAACUCCGUACCACAAGAUCACAAAGCGGCUCCCUCUUUCCACUAGAGGUAGCACAAAUCACCCAAGGGGAAGAUAACAUUGUCUAGAAGUGGAUUUAUAAAGAAUUAUGAUUAAAAAUAAUUGCAAGACUUUAGUAUUCCUGUGUGUUUAGGACUACACAAUUUAUUCAUUAGGCCAUUUUAACUGAAUGUUAACCAUUUGCAAGACAUCACUGAGAGAAUAUUUACUGAUAAAAAAUUAAAUAUGUAAUAUGUGAGAUUUCACAAACCACUGUCUUCAAAUAUCAGAAACUAAUCUCCUCUGAAGUCAUUUUGAAAUUAUGCUAAAAUGCAAGUUUCCUUUGGAACUGGAAAAUCCACUAAGUGAAAUUACAUUUGGUAAUUUGUGUUCUUCAGCGACCAGUAGGCUACAUGAUGGGGUUAUGAAGAUGGUAAAAACAUGAACGAAUAAAGGGGGGAAAUGCUUAUAAUCAAAACUAUCCAAAGUAAAUACCUCUUCUGCCUUUUACUGAUGCUAUGUGAUAUACUAAGCAGUGUCUAAUUUGCAACCUUUAAAUGUCAAACCUGAGAUUUGAUCUUUUCCAGUAAACACGGAGGAUUAGAGGCCACAAUAAGAGACAAAUUUAUUAAAGACUAGUCCUUUUAUGGAGAAAGAACAAAUAAGAGGUUUCCUCACAUUGAACUUAAAAUAGC